rnacentral:rRNA from 1 species
GUACACGCUGUGACUAGCAUAUCAAUAAGCGGAGGAAAAGAAACUAACAAGGAUUCCCUCAGUAACGGCGAGUGAAGCGGGAAGAGCUCAAAUUUGAAAUCUUGAAAGGUCACCUUUCACGAAUUGUAGUUUAAAGAAGUGUUUUCUGUUACGAUCGUAAUAUAAGUUCUUUGGAAUAGGACAUCACAGAGGGUGAGAAUCCCGUCUAUGACUGCGAUUUGUAGCUUUGUGAUACACUUUCAAAGAGUCGGGUUGUUUGGGAAUGCAGCCCAAAACGGGAGGUAAAUUUCUUCUAAGGCUAAAUAUUGGCGAGAGACCGAUAGCGAACAAGUACCGUGAGGGAAAGAUGAAAAGAACUUUGAAAAGAGAGUUAAAUAGUACGUGAAAUUGUCAAAAGGGAAGCGUUUAACACCAGUGUUGUUUUCUGAAAAUCAACCUCUGUUAGCUUUAUGCAUGUUUGUUUAGACCUAAUCAGCUAUCUUUCAUGUUCUAUUGUUUGCAGUGGUGCACUUUUCAGUUUACAGGUCAACAUCAGUUUUUUUUACCGUAAAAAAGUUAAAGAAAGGUAGCUCAUGGCUCCGGUCGUGAGUGUUAUAGUCUUUUUCCUAUGCGGUAGGAGAGACUGAGGUCUGCAGUGUAGGCUAUUUGGCUAGAUACUCAGGUGCUAUGUGAUACCAUUUCAUAAACAACUUGUUGAUUAUGUUUUGUCUAUUGCAUACUCGCUUGUACUAUCAUACCUACGCUUAGGAUGUUGAGUAGCGACAUACGCAC